AAAAGGUUAACUCACAUGAUUUCCCCUAUUUUUCUACUAAGCCUACUACUUAUCGCCUUUCGUGUGCGCGGUAUGCUGGUGGGUGGGAAACAGGGCUAAGUUAACCUCCAAUCAGAAACAGAAAACCCGCGCACGGCGCGGGUUUUUUU
rnacentral:sRNA from 1 species